AUAGCGUAUAUUAAAGUUGUUGCAGUUAAAAAGCUCGUAGUUGAACUUCAGACCUGACCGGGCGGUCCGCCUAACGGUGUGUACUGUCUGGCUGGGCCUUACCUCUUGGUGAGCCGGCGUGCCCUUUAUUGGUGUGCGUCGGGGAACCAGGACUUUUACCUUGAGAAAAUUAGAGUGUUCAAAGCAGGCCUAUGCCUGAAUACAUUAGCAUGGAAUAAUAAAAUAGGACGUGCGGUUCUAUUUUGUUGGUUUCUAGAGUCGCCGUAAUGAUUAAUAGGGAUAGUUGGGGGCAUUGGUAUUGAGUCGCUAGAGGUGAAAUUCUUGGAUUGACUCAAGACCAACUGUUG
rnacentral:rRNA from 1 species